rnacentral:rRNA from 1 species
CCCUUAGAUGUCCUGGGCCGCACGCGCGUUACACUGAUGCAUUCAACGAGCUUAUAACCUUGGCCGAGAGGCCUGGGCAAUCUUGUUAACGUGCAUCGUGAUAGGGAUAGAUUAUUGAAAUUAUUAAUCUUGAACGAGGAAUUCCUAGUAAACGCAGAUCAUCAAUCUGCAUUGAUACGUCCCUGCCCUUUGUACACACCGCCCGUCGCACCUACCGAUUGGAUGGUCCGGUGAAGCCUCGGGAUUGUGGUUCUUGCCGCUUUAUUGUGGCGUGACCGCGAGAACUUGUCUAAACCUUAUCAUCUAGAGGAAGGUGAAGUCGUAACA